GACGAACGCUGGCGGCGUGCCUAAUACAUGCGAGUCGAGCGGACGAAUCGAAAGCUUGCUUUUGAUUCGUUAGCGGCGGACGGGUGAGUAACACGUGGGCAACCUGCCCUGUAGACGGGGAUAACACCGAGAAAUCGGUGCUAAUACCGGAUAACACGAAAUGUCGCAUGACGUUUCGUUGAAAGACGGCGCAAGCUGUCGCUACAGGAUGGGCCCGCGGCGCAUUAGCUAGUUGGUGAGGUAACGGCUCACCAAGGCGACGAUGCGUAGCCGACCUGAGAGGGUGAUCGGCCACACUGGGACUGAGACACGGCCCAGACUCCUACGGGAGGCAGCAGUAAGGAAUCUUCCGCAAUGGACGAAAGUCUGACGGAGCAACGCCGCGUGAGCGAAGAAGGCCUUCGGGUCGUAAAGCUCUGUUGUUAGGGAAGAACAAGUAACGCAGUAACUGGCGUUACCGUGACGGUACCUAACGAGAAAGCCACGGCUAACUACGUG
rnacentral:rRNA from 1 species